GGCGGAGUGGCGGAACAGGCAGACGCUGGGGACUUAAAAUCCUCUGUCCAUUGGACGUGCGGGUUCGAUUCCCGUCUCCGCCACCA
rnacentral:tRNA from 1 species